GUGGGGAAUAUUGCACAAUGGACGAAAGUCUGAUGCAGCAACGCCGCGUGGAGGAUGACACAUUUCGGUGCGUAAACUCCUUUUAUAUAAGAAGAUAAUGACGGUAUUAUAUGAAUAAGCACCGGCUAACUCCGUGCCAGCAGCCGCGGUAAUACGGGGGGUGCAAGCGUUACUCGGAAUCACUGGGCGUAAAGAGCAUGUAGGCGGAUUAAUAAGUUUGAAGUGAAAUCCUAUAGCUUAACUAUAGAACUGCUUUGAAAACUGUUAGUCUAGAAUGUGGGAGAGGUAGAUGGAAUUUCUGGUGUAGGGGUAAAAUCCGUAGAGAUCAGAAGGAAUACCGAUUGCGAAGGCGAUCUACUGGAACAUUAUUGACGCUGAGAUGCGAAAGCGUGGGGAGCAAACAGGAUUAGAUACCCUUGUAGUCC
rnacentral:rRNA from 1 species